CCUACGGGAGGCUGCAGUGGGGAAUAUUGCACAAUGGGGGAAACCCUGAUGCAGCGACGCCGCGUGAGCGAUGAAGUAUUUCGGUAUGUAAAGCUCUAUCAGCAGGGAAGAAAAUGACGGUACCUGACUAAGAAGCCCCGGCUAACUACGUGCCAGCAGCCGCGGUAAUACGUAGGGGGCAAGCGUUAUCCGGAUUUACUGGGUGUAAAGGGCGCGUAGACGGGAAUGCAAGCCAGAUGUGAAAGCGCGGGGCUCAACCCCGGGACUGCAUUUGGAACUGUAUAGCUGGAGUGUCGGAGAGGCAGGUGGAAUUCCUAGUGUAGCGGUGAAAUGCGUAGAUAUUAGGAGGAACACCAGUGGCGAAGGCGGCCUGCUGGACGAUAACUGACGUUGAGGCUCGAAAGCGUGGGGAGCAAACAGGAUUAGAUACCCCUGUAGUC
rnacentral:rRNA from 1 species